rnacentral:rRNA from 1 species
CGCUGGUGUACCUGUUGGUGACCAACACCAUAGCAGGGUAGCCAAGUCCGGCAGGGAUAAACGCUGAAGGCAUCUAAGCGUGAAGCCCCCCUCAAGAUGAGAUAUCCCAGUUAAGUAAGACCCCUUAGAGAGUAUGAGGUAGAUAGGCUUAAGGUGUAAGUGCAGUAAUGUAUUAAGCUGAUAAGUACUAAUCGGUCGAGGGCUUAACCAA